UACGUAGGGGGCCAGCGUUGCUCGGAAUUACUGGGCGUAAAGGGUUCGUAGGUGGUGCGGCAAGUUGGGAGUGAAAUCUCUGGGCUUAACUCAGAGGCUGCUUUCAAAACUGCCGCGCUCGAGUGCGAGAGAGGUCAGUGGAAUUGCAGGUGUAGCGGUGAAAUGCGCAGAUAUCGGGAGGAACACCGGUGGCGAAGGCGGUUCUCUGGGCCUUACCUGACGCUGAGGAGCGAAAGCGUGGGGAGCGAACAGG
rnacentral:rRNA from 1 species